UACGAAGGGGGCUAGCGUUGCUCGGAAUGACUGGGCGUAAAGGGCGCGUAGGCGGAUGGCACAGUCAGAUGUGAAAUUCCCGGGCUUAACCUGGGGGCUGCAUUUGAUACGUGUUGUCUUGAGUUCGGAAGAGGGUCGUGGAAUUCCCAGUGUAGAGGUGAAAUUCGUAGAUAUUGGGAAGAACACCGGUGGCGAAGGCGGCUCACUGGCUCAUUUCUGACGCUCAGGCGCGACAGCGUGGGGAUCAAACAGG
rnacentral:rRNA from 1 species